GGCACCAAGUCUCCUUUCCCCCCCCCUUUUCUCUCUCGUUUUCUCUUACACCUCGUUCUUCUUGCAGUUAUUCAUCUUGGGAACAAAAGCUAAGUGUUUGGCUGUGACUGAGAUCAAGGCCCUGCUUCUUCCUCCCAGGAAAAGCUGCUGCCGAGGCUGGGGAGGCUUCAGCCCAGUGCCUCCCGGCUCCCAUCGACUGCAAGUCCCCUGGGAGGCAGCUGACUGGCACCCAGACUGCCAGCCAGAUGAUGGAUCCUACCGGGAGAAUCAGACGUGACAGGGGGAGGUGAGGCUGCUGCAGUGGCCACCACUGAACCUGAGGACGAGGGGCAGAUGCGGUCAGCUGCCUCAGUUCACAUUCUCCAUCUGGACCUGAAGUAUUUCGUUAGCUGCCUGCUGAAUGUUACAUUUUAUUUUGAAAGCUGACAAAAUAUCAGCAGUGUUUGACUUUUAAUGUUUGUCAUGUCUGCUGCUGGACCUUCCCAAAACUGUGAAACAUGCCAAAUGACACAUGUUGAGGUUGAGAAUACCAAAUUGAGUUAAAAAUAGGUCAUCAAUUUUUAGAUAUUUUAGAUAUAUUUGAAGUUAGCUCCUCAGUAACCUUUCACAUAACUGAUUACCAUUAACUGGUAACUGAAUUCCAUUAAACAAAAUCUGUAAAGAGAGCAUGUUUAAAACCUUUUAUUGAGCUCGGGAUAUUGUUUUGUCAUUUCUGGCAUGACCAGCUUAAUCUUGUGAUACCAGCUGGAUGAACGCGUGUAUCUUGCCCCGCGGCAUCCUGCUGUGCCAUUGCUUCAACCAGACACUGUGAUGGUAAGUGACUGCUGUAAUUGUUCUGCUCCCAGCUCUUCUACUUCAGCCAUCCAACUGGCUCCAUCCUCUUGGUUGUGCCACAUUGCCCUCUUGGGCCUUCUUGGCAUCAGCCCCCAGUCCUUUAGCUCAGAGAUCUGAUAUACAGUGAUUCUACAGUUCAAUACCAUAUCAACACCAAGAAGAUUAAAAAGCAUACACAAUUAAAAAUAAAUAGGACUCUACACUUGCUGAUGUGUUUGAUGUUGUAAAUAGUUUUCAAGGUUUUUUUUUUUCCUGCAUCGCCAAAUAUAAUUUAUUAUUACAAUAUACAAACACACGUACCUCUUGUGGUAUGUUUUGUGGUAUGCAGAUGAAGGUUUUUGUAGGCACUGAUAUAACUGAUGUAAAUAGAUUUGUGUUUCUGCUUCUCAGAGCAUUUGUUUCUGUCUGUUUCCAGAAAUAAUCUUAAUUUUAUUGCUAUUUUACCUCAAUAGAAUUUGUUUCAGUGACAGCUAUUCACAUUACAGUCUACACUUUGUGCUUUGGAUAUCGCGAAGAUAAGAGCCAAACCACAUGGCCAUAAAAGAUGAAUUUGGGAAAAUGUGUGUCACGCGACCAAAUGGGUUGUUGUUUUUUUUAUGAUUACUGUUGAGAUAUUAAAAAAUAAAAGGUUGGAAAACAGAUAAGUAAUGUUGACAGCCGUAUAUGUGUUAA